GGAGCAGUGGUAGCUCGUUGGGCUCAUAACCCAAAGGUCGUAAGUUCGAGUCUUGCC
rnacentral:tRNA from 1 species